AUAUAACUGACUGAUGUGACGAGUGAUAACAGAUACACGGCCGAAUUUCUGCUCACUAAUAGUUCCUUCGAAGACAAAAAGAUGUUAUAUGGGACUGUAAGAGGAUACCUGACAAUUCAAUAAAGUAAUUGAAUGUCAUUAGAUAAGAGAACACGAGAAAAAUAGAAAUUCCCCUGUUUAUAUUCAUUCUAUACCUUAUAAAAACAUGGUAAUGCACAGCAUUUUUAUGUUUUUCUUUCGUUUUCACUUAUCUAGUGGCAGUCAAUUCUUUUUAAGAAUUGUCAGAUAUCCUCUCACAGCCUCACACAACAACUUUUGGUCUUCGAGGGAAUUAUUAGUGAGCAGAAAUUCGCCCGUAUAUCCGGUAUCACUCGUCACAUCAGUCAGUUAUAUAGAGAGAUGACUCGUGUUUUCCUUUGGCGUACGUCACUUCCGAUCCAGGAAAGCUGUAUUACUCAGCUAUCGUAGCAAUGAUCUCUGUGUUAAAAUUAUAUUUGGAAUGUGUUUAACCAGCUCUAUCACAUAUGUGAUAAUGACUGGCACCACUAUUGUCCUUUAAUUUUAAGAUACAUAAGUUAGUGUUGUAAAUACAUUAGAAAAUGUAUAAUAUUUUUAAGUAAAAACUGAUUUGGCAAAGAGGAUGUACCAUAUAUUAUUAAGCUUAAAUACCAUAAAAAAUGAAAGUAUUUUAUGCCUGAAAUUAAUGCAAAAUUUAUGAUGGGUCCAAUUAAAGGAGCAAUCAUUUCAUGAUAACACGGUUGUCUACGAUAUCACGCUUGGUGGUAGUGGACGUAAAACUCUAGUAACGGACAAACCAUGAAACCAUAACGAUAUAGCGUCUCAGAAUUGAAGAUUGGGUUUGACUUAUUACAUCUUAAUUCACUAUUGUUGAUUUUCAGUAAUUUCAUGUGAAAAUAAAUUCAUUAAGUCUAAUUAUGUAACAACAAAAACCUCAUUUUGUUUUUUUUACUAUACCUGAACAUUGAUAUGUUUCAUAAAUAUUGUAUCUGUGCAGUUUCAUAUAAUAUCCAGAAAGGUAUAAUGUAUAUUGUUUCGUUUACCUUGUAGCCCGUAAGAUGUUUCAUAUAUCCUAUACCUUUAAGGAUAAAAUCAUGUGUUACAUAUAUUGUAUCUUUGUCAAGAUACAAGUUAUGUUUCAUAUAUUGUAUAUCCAUCACAAUGCAGUUCAUAUGUGUCAUAUAUUGUAUAUCCAUCACAAUGCAGUUCAUAUGUGUCAUAUAUUGUAUAUCCAAAAAGAUACAAUUCUUAUGUUCCAAUAUAUUGUAUAUCAAUCAAGAUAUCAAUUCAUAUGUUCCAUUGUAUAUCCAUCAAGAUACAAUUUAUAUGUUCCAUAUAUUAUUGUAUAUCCAAAAAAGAUAUAAUUCAUAUGUUCCAUAAUAUAACAUUGUAUAUCCAAGAAGAUGCAAUUUAUAUGUUCCAUAUAUUAUUGUAUAUCAAAAAAGAUGCAAUUCAUAUGUUCCAUAUUAUAUCCAGGAAGAUCCAAUUUAUAUGUUCCAUAUGUCUAUCGAUCAAGAUAACAAUUUAUAUGUUCCAUAUGUCUAACGAUCAAGAUAACAAUUUAUAUGUUCCAUAUGUCUAUCCAUCAAGAUACAAUUUAUAUGUUCCAUAUGUCUAUCCAUCAAGAUACAAUUUAUAUGUUCCAUAUGUCUAUCCAUCAAGAUACAAUUUAUAUGUUCCAUAUGUCUAUCCAUCAAGAUACAAUUUAUAUGUUCCAUAUGUCUAUCAAGAUACAAUUUAUUUGUUUCUUUUAUAUUUUAUCCAAUUUAUAUGUUUCAUAUAUUUUAUAUCCAUAACAAUACAAUCUAUAUAUAUCAUUUAUAGUAUAUCCAUAUGGAUACAGAGAGAGAGAGAGAAAUGGGGUUUAACGUCUACUUGACACAAACCAGGUCAUUUCGGGACUAACAUAUGGUUCUAUUUUAUUUCAAUAACUUGCUUGCGCGUAGGGGUCUUUAACAGUGGGGGCAAAACAGAGGACCCGGAGCUUUCCCAUGAGGUUGAACAGGCGACCCUACUCCUUGUCACAUACAACCGGAGAAUCGAAACCACGCCAGUUGACUCAAUGACAGACUUAAUGAUACAGCGCGCACAUGCUAACCAUUCAAACAUCCAACCCCCUUCAUAUGGAUACAAUAUACUGUAAAUGGUUCAUAGACUGUAUAACAUGUUUCAAUUAUUCAUAAAAAAACAAUUAAUCGUUGUAUAUAUUGUAAUAUAUAAAUCUUAUCACCUAUAUCUUCAUUUCCAUAAAUGCCAAUGUUUGACUGGACUGAAGAUACUUAUUUUUCUGGUUUUUGCAAACCAACAUUCCUUUUUUUUAACGCGCUUAAUGUAUAAUGGGUGUAUGUAGUUGUGGGCUGGAAUGUAGGACUAGUCACUGAUUAGAGCGGAAGCAUCUUUGUAUUAAUACCCUUGGUUAGCUGUAAUUCUUGAAAUAUCUGGUUUGUCGCAUUAAACAAUGUUGUUGUAUGUUAUAUGGCAUCAGUGUUCUUGUUUGUUGAUAGAACUUGUUAAAAGAGCAGUAAGUAGUACAUCUUCAACCAAUAUGAAGAGCCCCGGGGAAGAACGAUCUAAGUCACUUUUUCAACAAACCCCAGUUAAUGGCACCAUAUAUGGUAUCAAAUUGUAUAAGCUUUCUGUGGAACAAUCAAUUUCAGGUAAAAACGAUCAGUCACAUCGAACCAAGGCCCUUCUGAAAUGGCCUCCCGGACAAAUACAAGUCCAUUGUAUUUAUUUGACCUUAAUUUGGCUAAAAAGUGGAAGUCAGUUGUUGUACUGGUAAUUAUGAUUCGUAUUAACCAUCAUUUUGAAGUUGUAAUUAAACCCACUCGCGUCAAGCAUUCUCGUCCAAAAGUCUGUUUAGCCUUUUAUGCGAAAAGACAAAAAUGUGACUUAGAUCGUUUUUCCCAUUGACUCUUCAUAUAUACCCAUAGCAAUUGAUCAAGGAUAAAGAUUGGGUUGAUGUAGAAGGAUUUUUUUGUUGGCAGCAGACAGCUAAACAAUGCUUUGUAAUAUUCGCUUUGGUUCAAAACUAGUAAUAGCAGUAUUAGAUCAGAAAGCUUAAUGGUGCCUUAUUGUAUGUCUUUAUAAGCUUACAUGAUAAAAUUUAUAACUUUUAUCAGUAUUUUAUUUGACAUUGAAUCUAAAUAUAUACAUUCUUUAUGUACAUAAACUUUAUUCUUUACUAUAUUCAGUUAUUUCAACUCAUCUUUGUGUAAACAUCUUAACCCUUAACCGGUCUUUGUCGACUAUAGUCACCAUAACAUUAUACAGCUAAGUGGUCACGGUCGACCGCAGUAAGAACCUUUUUUAUAAGCCGCUUUUGAGUAAUUAGUUUCGUAUUUAAUUGAUAUGGCCAUGCAUGCGUGUCAGACAGAAACUUGUCUUGUCAACAUUUUUUGACAAAAACGUAAUUUUUUAAUGAUGUCGGGAGGUUAAUUAAAGACUGUGAAAGUGGUUGAAAUGCUUAUGAAUGAUUCCGACUCAGAUUAUAUCGAUGACACUGAUUCUGAAGACGAUAUUUCUGAUGAAAAUGAUUUAGAAAAAGAGAGACAACGUGCAAAUUAUAGAUCAACUUAUCCCCUUCAACUUUUUUAUUGUUGUCAGGUGUAUGUCACGUAUAAUUAUCCAGCAGUAGUCGUUUGAAAUAGGCAUACAAAAUAUUUCACAUUAGCCUUUAUUUAGCCAGACGACUUCAUGACGUCAAAAUGACGUAGACCAGUUGGGGGUUAAAUCUAUUUUAAAUUCAGCUAUAUAUGUAAAGUUAUUUUUGAACUUGACCUAUCUAAGGUAACCUAAGGUAAAGUUAUUUUUAAACUUGACCUAUCUAAGGUAACCUAAGGUAAAGUUAUUUUUAAACUGAACUCGCGGUCGUUUUCUUGUUUAUACCAGUGUACCUAAUUGUGUUCAAAUAUUUGAUGAUUUGAAAGAUAAGAUAAAUAUUGUCUAAUUUUUAUCAGUACUUGUAAUAAAUAUACAUUUUUAAAACUGUUAUUUUAUAUUUUUAAUUUUUAAAUGUUACCAUAGAAUAAUGAAAUUUUCUCUUGUGUUUACAUAUGGAUAAAAUAUUAUCACAUAUUAAUUUCUUAAGGUCUUUUCAAUUAGUGUAGAUUAACGCUUAUUUUGAAAUUAACUUGAAAAAUAAUUGGAAGAAUAGUGUUGUUUCUGAAAGGGUGCUAAUAUGUGGGUAAUCAAUCUAUCAUGGUUAAAGAAUGUCAAUUUUGUAAAAUUACAACAUAAAAAUGAUUUAUUAAAAAAUACUGAACAUUUAAUAUCUUUAGAAUAUGUAUUUUAAAAUAUAUAUAAUGUAAAUGGUUUUUCCAAAAUAUUUUUGAAUAUGGGUUUAUUUUAUAAGUGCUCUUUUUUACUCAUUGUAUAUAUUUUUGAAAUGUAUUGUCAACUUUUUGUGCUUGAUUUUGUUUUGUAUAUUAUUACUCUAUAAGCUUUUAGAAUUCUGUGUAGUAUUUUUUGUACAUACAUCGAUGUCAAACUGAAGGUUUCUUUUCCCUUCUGGUCAUUUAUUUUUAAUUACAGUCAGAAAUUAGAAUAUGUUUGUAAUUAUUACUAAACUGAAUAAAAUUACUGAUAAAUAGA